GACGAACGCUGGCGGCGUGCUUAACACAUGCGAGUCGAACGGAAAGGCCCUUCGGGGUACUCGAGUGGCGAACGGGUGAGUAACACGUGGGUGAUCUGCCCUGCACUUUGGGAUAAGCCUGGGAAACUGGGUCUAAUACCGAAUAGGACCACGCGCUUCAUGGUGUGUGGUGGAAAGCUUUUGCGGUGUGGGAUGGGCCCGCGGCCUAUCAGCUUGUUGGUGGGGUGAUGGCCUACCAAGGCGACGCCGGGUGGCCGGCCUGAGAGGGUGACCGGCCACACUGGGACUGAGAUACGGCCCAGACUCCUACGGGAGGCAGCAGUGGGGAAUAUUGCACAAUGGGCGCAAGCCUGAUGCAGCGACGCCGCGUGAGGGAUGACGGCCUUCGGGUUGUAAACCUCUUUCACCAGGGACGAAGCGUAAGUGACGGUACCUGGAGAAGAAGCACCGGCCAACUACGUG
rnacentral:rRNA from 1 species